GACGAACGCUGGCGGCGUGCUUAACACAUGCAAGUCGAACGGAAAGGCCCUGCUCUUGUGGGGUGCUCGAGUGGCGCACGGGUGAGUAACACGUGAGUAACCUGCCCUUGACUUUGGGAUAACUUCAGGAAACUGGGGCUAAUAUCGGAUAGGAGCUCCUGCUGCAUGGUGGGGGUUGGAAAGUUUCGGCGUUGGUGGCUGUACUGGCGGGUUAUCAGCUUGUUGGUGGGGUAGUGGCUUACCAAGGCUUUGACGGAUAGCCUGCCUGAGAGGGUGAACGGGCACAAUGGGACUGAGGUACGGACCAGACGGCUACGGGAGGCAGCAGUGGAGAAUAUUGCACAAUAGGGGGAAGCCUGAUGCAGCAACGUCGCGUGCGGAAUGACGGCCUUCGGGUUGUAAACCGCUUUCGCCGGUGACGAAGCGUGAGUGACGGUAAUGGGUAAAGAAGCACCGGCUAACUACGUG
rnacentral:rRNA from 1 species